GCACAGGGUCAUGGAGCAAGAGGACAGAAUGAUUAUGAGUUUAGUCUGCCGUUUCUUAAUGCUGUGAAGACAGAGGUGAGCCACAGGUCGACCCAGCGCCAGGUGAACAUCACGGUGCGUAAGCAGCUAAGUGGCUGGUGGGACAGACUCACGCUACAGGAGAAGAAACCUCUUUUCCUUGCUCCUGACUUCGACCGCUGGGUGGACGAGUCUGACGCAGAGAUGGAGCUACUGGAGAAGGAGGAGAAAAAGAACCGACUGAACACGGAGUCGAGACAGUCGGACCCCUGUGAGUAUAAACCCACUGUAUUUAACCAGCUGAAGGCUGUUAGAGGACUGUGAGUAUAAACACAC